GUAUAGCAAUAGCUAGUUGCAUCAUAGUAGAUAUGAUGCAAGAUCGACUAUGUUGAAUAAAAUUCUAGGUAGAAUUAUGAUAAUGACAUUGUCUGCCUAUGUGUCUUGACCAAAUUACGUGCCAGCAGUCGCGGUAAUACGUAGAAGACUAGUGUUAUUCAUGUUUAAUCGGUUUAAAGGGUACCUAGACGGUAGAUCAAGCUUUCUAAUAAAGGAAAAGGACUAGUUUACUAGAGUUACUUAUGAGGGGGUAUUAAAGUACUGCUGGUGUAGAGAUGAAAUUCUGUCAUACCUCUUUUCAAAAGAAAAACCAUGGCACAGGUAUAGGCGAAGGCAUCCCCUUAUGUGAUAACUGACGUUGAGGGACGAAGGCUUUGUGUAGCGAACAGGAUUAGAUACCCCAGUAGUCGAAGCAGAAAAUGAUGAAUGUCAUAGAUUAGAUAUAUAAGUUUAUUCUAUAAAUGAAAGUGUAAGCAUUCCACCUCAUGAGUAAUUUGGCAACAUUGGAACUGAAAUCAUUAGACCGUUUCUGAAACCAGUAGUGAAGUAUGUUGUUUAAUUUGAUGUCCCGCAAAAAACCUUACCACAAUUUGAAUAUUUAUAUUGUUUAUUGUUUUAUUAUUAAUUUUCUUGAAGAAAAUUAAGAAAAAAGCAAUAAGAUAUAAUUUCAAGCGUUGCACGGCUGUCUUCAGUUAAUGUCGCGAGACUUUGGUUAGUUCCAUUAAAUUAACGUAAACCCUUACUUUAUUUUUAUAUAGAGUAGUUCCCCGCUAUAUUGGAUAU
rnacentral:rRNA from 1 species